UUCACUUCAGUAAAGCAGAGCAUCUCCAUUCCAGUACUCCUAGAAGAAGCUCUCACUGGCCUGACCUCCUCACGCACAAUUUCACCGCUCCGAGAUCAGCCAACCGCGCCGUCGUGUCACGGAAUUCAACUGAAGCGGUAGACGGAUAACAUCAAAGAAAGAGUUGUACAACUACAGGCAUUCGUCCUUAUGGAUGGUUAUUGAGCGGUCCUUUGGAGUGCUGAAGGCCCGUUUCCCCAUUCUGAAUUUAAUGCCAAACUUCAAGCCAAUUAGGUAGCGGUACGUGGUUAUUGUGUGCUAUGCUCCACACAAUUUCAUACGCAUGAACAAUCGGAGUGAUGAAUUGUUCAAAACAAUAAGAGAGAGUGAUGGCGAAGGUAGUGCAACCAAUGGCGAAGGCGGUGGAGAUGUUGGAGCAUCAACAAGCUCAGCAACCCAAAGGCAUGUACUAGAAAUGUCAAGUGCAUCAAAGAGAGCGAUGGGCCAUGUUAGGGACAAUAUCACAGACACAAUGUGGAAUGAUUAUGUUGCUUAUGGCAAUGUGAGAUGAUUAUAUAUUGAAAAUGGAAAUUGACCAUUUCCUUCGCUGCAUUAUUUUGGGUUUGUGUAAUUUGGAAUAUUAUGUACUUUUAGUUUAUAAGUAUUUUGGGUCUGUGUAAUUUGGAAUGCUUUGUUAUUGUUAAGGGUGAUGUUCUUGGUUCUUCUUAA